GAUGAACGCUGGCGGCGUGCCUAACACAUGCAAGUCGAGCGGCAGCGCGGGGUGCUUGCACCCUGCCGGCGAGCGGCGGACGGCUGAGUAACGCGUGGGAACGUGCCCCAAAGUGAGGAAUAACUGCCCGAAAGGGUAGCUAAUACCGCAUAUUAUCUUCGGAUCAAAGGAUUUAUCCGCUUUGGGAGCGGCUCGCGUCGGAUUAGGUAGUUGGUGGGGUAAUGGCUCACCAAGCCGACGAUCCGUAGCUGGUCUGAGAGGAUGACCAGCCAGACUGGAACUGAGACACGGUCCAGACUCCUACGGGAGGCAGCAGUGAGGAAUCUUCCACAAUGGGCGAAAGCCUGAUGGAGCAACGCCGCGUGCAGGACGAAGGCCUUCGGGUUGUAAACUGCUUUUAUAAGUGAGGAAUAUGACGGUAACUUAUGAAUAAGGAUCGGCUAACUACGUG
rnacentral:rRNA from 1 species